GCUCAGAGCAAGCUUCCCCUUUUCCCUCUCUCUCUAGGGUUUUUCUCUCUCUACAUCGAAUUCGUCGUUUCGCACCGUUUCCGCGCCGCGCUCGUUGCUUGCUGAUUGGAAGACUUGAGGAAAGUGUUUGAAACAUGGGGAGAGGAAAUUUUGCUGAGUUUUCUGUGAGGUUACUACCUGAGAAGCUGGUUGAAAGCUUUAGAGAGGUCUUUGAGCCUCUUUGAGUUGAACCUGUACUCUUGAAAGCUGGUUUGGAGGAUAUUCUAACCAAGGCGAGAUUGCAAUCGAGUCUUGGAUCGUCUUCGACUGACUUGUGAGAACUCUUGGAGGUUACAUUUGAGCAGAGUUGAGACCUUGUGGAGUUGAUUUUGGAACUUCCUUUGGACUGAUUGGAGCCUAGUAAUAGGUGGGUUUGACCUAACCAGAGCAAGUGGAGCUCCUCUAUGUUCUAUAUGUACCAUAGAGUUGGUAUAAUUGUGUACUUUGUGGUUGAUACAUAAUUGAGUUAAAAUCUCU